CAAUAUUAACAUCAGGGCCUUCAAUGUCCACCUUGGGUCCUGAGAUGUCAACGUCAGCCUUAGGCAAGUUGACGUCUACUUCAGGGCCCUCUGCUUUGAAGCCAGGCAUGCUGAACUUGGGCAUUUUCAUCUUGGGCAUCUUCAGGUGCCAGUCUGGGCCUUGAACCUCCACAUCUGGGACAUCAAUGUCCAUUUUGGCACUUUUAAGUUCAACAUCAGGAACUUUAAUCUCACUUUCAACCUUUGGCAUUGUGACAUCAUAUUCUCCCUUUACGUUAGGGCCUUUCAGAUGUAAGUCCACAUCAGGCAUGGAGAUCUUGGGGACUUUGAUGUUCA
rnacentral:lncRNA from 1 species